GGUACAGAGGAGUCUUCCGAAGGAUGGGAAAGUAAUUUCCCGUAUUUUAUUCUCUCUCUCGUUGGCUUCAUGAAUAAUAAGAAAUUGCUAGAUUAUUGUGGUUUCAGAUCAUCUUCUAUUUUCUACCUAUUUUCCAUGAUUCUACCCAUUUCCAGCAUCACCCGCAGCAGUUCCAUCGCCAUGCUCGAUCAGCACACGGUCUGC
rnacentral:lncRNA from 1 species